GGAAUGGGAAAGCAAAAUGUGAAGUCUGUGUGGAUUCGUAUUUUAUUUGUGGCUUGAAUCCUUACUUCUGAGAGAGGGUCUCACUAAAGACAAAACAAAACUAAACAAGGCUUCUUGAAGAAAUGCUUUUUUUAGGUCCAGGGCAGGAAGAUACAAGUCUCAAAAGGGAACCCAAUGGAGAGAUCAGACUGUAAUCACUCCAACCCCAGAGUCAAGUUUAGCAACCCUGACGGUGGGUCAUCCAGAUCAGAUGGUGAAAAGGAGAGAUACUCUUGCUGAGUUUAUUUAGGUUGUGGUUCAGAGAAUGUAGGACAAGCAGCAAAUCAGCAGAAACACGGU